ACGUGAGCUCUUCCUAACUAUGACUCUCUUAAGGUAGCCAAAUGCCUCGUCAUCUAAAUAGAGACGCGCAUGAAUGGAUUAACGAGAUUCCCACUGUCCCUAUCUAAUAUCUAGCGAAACCACAGCCAA